UCGAUGAGUAUUACUCACGUGUUAUACGA
rnacentral:sRNA from 1 species